AUUGAACGCUGGCGGCAGGCCUAACACAUGCAAGUCGAGCGAGCGGCGGACGGGUGAGUAAUGUCUGGGAAACUGCCUGUUGGCUGGGGAUAACUACUGGAAACGGUAGCUAAUCCCGCAUACCAUCAGCUGUGCCCAGAUGGGAUUAGCUAGUGGGUGGGGUAACGGCCCACCUAGGCGACGAUCCCUAGCUGGGCUGAGAGGGUGAUCAGCCACACUGGGACUGAGACACGGCCCAGACUCCUACGGGAGGCAGCAGUGGGGAAUCUGGGGCAAUGGGCGCAAGCCUGAUGGAGCAAUGCCGCGUGAGUGAAGAAGGGCUUCGGAUCGUAAAGCACUGUCAGCGGGGAGGCGUUACCCAAACAGAAAGCAACGGCUAACUCCGUGCCAGCAGCCGCGGUAAUAC
rnacentral:rRNA from 1 species